AGAGUUUGAUCCUGGCUCAGGACGAACGCUGGCGGCGUGCUUAACACAUGCAAGUCGAACGAGAAUCUGUGGAAAGAGGAUUCGUCCAAUUGAAGCAGAGGACAGUGGCGGACGGGUGAGUAACGCGUGAGGAACCUGCCUUUCAGAGGGGGACAACAGUUGGAAACGACUGCUAAUACCGCAUGACACAUAGGUGUCGCAUGGCACUUAUGUCAAAGAUUUAUCGCUGAAAGAUGGCCUCGCGUCUGAUUAGCUAGUUGGUGAGGUAACGGCCCACCAAGGCGACGAUCAGUAGCCGGACUGAGAGGUUGAACGGCCACAUUGGGACUGAGAUACGGCCCAGACUCCUACGGGAGGCAGCAGUGGGGAAUAUUGGGCAAUGGGCGCAAGCCUGACCCAGCAACGCCGCGUGAAGGAAGAAGGCUUUCGGGUUGUAAACUUCUUUUAAGAGGGAAGAGCAGAAGACGGUACCUCUAGAAUAAGCCACGGCUAACUACGUGCCAGCAGCCGCGGUAAUACGUAGGUGGCAAGCGUUGUCCGGAUUUACUGGGUGUAAAGGGCGUGUAGCCGGGAGGGCAAGUCAGAUGUGAAAUCCACGGGCUCAACUCGUGAACUGCAUUUGAAACUACUCUUCUUGAGUAUCGGAGAGGCAAUCGGAAUUCCUAGUGUAGCGGUGAAAUGCGUAGAUAUUAGGAGGAACACCAGUGGCGAAGGCGGAUUGCUGGACGACAACUGACGGUGAGGCGCGAAAGCGUGGGGAGCAAACAGGAUUAGAUACCCUGGUAGUCCACGCUGUAAACGAUGAAUACUAGGUGUGCGGGGACUGACCCCCUGCGUGCCGCAGCUAACGCAAUAAGUAUUCCACCUGGGGAGUACGAUCGCAAGGUUGAAACUCAAAGGAAUUGACGGGGGCCCGCACAAGCGGUGGAUUAUGUGGUUUAAUUCGAAGCAACGCGAAGAACCUUACCAGGGCUUGACAUCCUACUAACGAGAUAGAGAUAUGUUAGGUGCCCUUCGGGGAAAGUAGAGACAGGUGGUGCAUGGUUGUCGUCAGCUCGUGUCGUGAGAUGUUGGGUUAAGU
rnacentral:rRNA from 1 species